rnacentral:rRNA from 1 species
UGACCGCUGGCGGCGUGCCUCAUACAUGCAAGUCGAGCGAACAGACGAGGAGCUUGCUCCUCUGACGUUAGCGGCGGACGGGUGAGUAACACGUGGAUAACCUACCUAUAAGACUGGGAUAACUUCGGGAAACCGGAGCUAAUACCGGAUAAUAUAUUGAACCGCAUGGUUCAGUAGUGAAAGACGGUUUUGCUGUCACUUAUAGAUGGAUCCGCGCCGCAUUAGCUAGUUGGUAAGGUAACGGCUUACCAAGGCAACGAUGCGUAGCCGACCUGAGAGGGUGAUCGGCCACACUGGAACUGAGACACGGUCCAGACUCCUACGGGAGGCAGCAGUAGGGAAUCUUCCGCAAUGGGCGAAAGCCUGACGGAGCAACGCCGCGUGAGUGAUGAAGGUCUUCGGAUCGUGAAACUCUGUUAUUAGGGAAGAACAAAUGUGUAAGUAACUAUGCACGUCUUGACGGUACCUAAUCAGAAAGCCACGGCUAACUACGUG